rnacentral:rRNA from 1 species
AGAAUCAACGCUGGCGGCGUGCCUAACACAUGCAAGUCGAACGAGAAAGUGGUAGCAAUACCAUGAGUACAGUGGCGCACGGGUGAGUAACACGUGACUAACCUACCCUGGAGUGGGGGAUAACUGAGGGAAACCUUAGCUAAUACCGCAUAAUACCUACGGGUCAAAGGAGCAAUUCGCUUCAGGAGGGGGUCGCGGCCGAUUAGUUAGUUGGCGGGGUAAUGGCCCACCAAGACAGUGAUCGGUAUCCGGCCUGAGAGGGCGCACGGACACACUGGAACUGAAACACGGUCCAGACUCCUACGGGAGGCAGCAGUGGGGAAUUUUGCGCAAUGGGGGGAAACCCUGACGCAGCAACGCCGCGUGGAGGAUGAAGUCCUUCGGGACGUAAACUCCUUUCGAUCGGGACGAUAAUGACGGUACCGGAAGAAGAAGCCCCGGCUAACUUCGCGCCAGCAGCCGC